CCUCGCCUCGAUGGAUAUAUCUUCCUUGUCAUUCUGCUUCAACGUAAGAAAUCAUUGUUUGAUUUUAUUUAUGGUAGGAUAAGCAGCAUCUUAUCCGUGAACAAUAAACGAAUUCUACGGAAAAAAGGUUGGUAGGAGAGGACUUCCCAUUCCGCAAGGGGCUAGGAAAUCCUCUUCAUUAUUGCGAAUCCCAUGCGUCAUAAUCACAAGGGGUUGGAAAGGUUGUCCAUUCAUUGUGUGUGAGAGAACGGCAAAUAAAGCAACUUUCGACCGACAACCGAAGGAAGCUUGAAGACUUGAUUGAUCACGGAACACCGGCAAAACUUUGCCAACCACGCUUUCGACCUUUGUCCACAAGCCGAUCUCAGAUUUUCCAAAGUCGCUUUUCAUCGGCGCCGGACGAGCCGAUUGACCUUAAGGUUACCAUAAAAACAACUUCUCUUCUCGCGGCGCAGAAUUUCGAAAGGCGUUAAAGAGAAGUGAAGAAGCAAACAUGCGCCGACCACGUCUUGGGAUAUGUUUCGAUGAAAAUGGUCUUGAGCUCCACUAUUGAACUCAAAAGACAACAUGAUCUCCCAUUGGACGAAAAAUAUUUUAGUUUUUAUCCACCUUGAUUCCAGUCCAGGCGCUCGAGUC
rnacentral:sRNA from 1 species